GAAUUGUUGAGGCUGAAUAUUUUUGGUGAAAGAUAAUAGUAUUUUAGCCAUAAAAUCAUGACAAUUGUGCUAUAACAGAAGAAAUAUAGGUUUCAAGAUAAUCUUCAAUGGAAUUAUUGCAACUUGACCCAUUACGUUUGAGAGGCAGGAUGGCUUUGGUUGGGGCAGCCACGAUUGAAAUAUUUU